GCGCCAUAAUUUUUGAUGCCAUCUUUCUCCAUGCAUAAAUAGUUUUUGCAUGAGAAUUUUUCAUGCCAAAGAGUCCUUUCUCUUCUCUAUCUCACAUCCAAAUUUGGGUAGGAUCUGAUUUCAUCAUGGAAAAAGUAAAAGAAGGGGCAUCAUAUAUUUCUUUUGGGCAUGGGAAUUGAGAGGAGGCAACAAAAGGCAAGUAAGAAUCC
rnacentral:lncRNA from 1 species